UUUCUUAUUACAGGAGAUACGACUGUAGUGUAAAGAAAAGGUUUUUUACCCCCAAACAUAUCUUGCAUACGUAUAAUAUGCAAAAAUGAAAGAUUAUGUCCAAUUUCGAUCGAUCUUAAUUAAUCCCUCGUUACUGCCCAUAGGAGAAGUAAUAGGUAGGGACGACAGGAUUUGAACCCGUGACAUUUUGUACCCAAAACAAACGCGCUACCAAGCUGCGCCACAUC
rnacentral:tRNA from 1 species